GGUGGCUGCAUGGCUGUCGUCAGCUCGUGUCGUGAGAUGUUGGGUUAAGUCCCGCAACGAGCGCAACCCUUGCCUUUAGUUGCCAGCAGUUCGGCUGGGCACUCUAAAGGGACUGCCGGUGGUUAAACCGGAGGAAGGUGGGGGAUGACGUCAAGUCCUCAUGGCCUUUAUGACCAGGGCUACACACGUACUACAAUGGCCGAUACAAAGGGCAGCGACACUGCGAGGUGAAGCCAAUCCCGUAAAAUCGGUCUCAGUCCGGAUUGGAGUCUGCAACUCGACUCCAUGAAGUUGGAAUCGCUAGUAAUCGUGGAUCAGCAUGCCACGGUGAAUACGUUCCCGGGCCUU
rnacentral:rRNA from 1 species